rnacentral:rRNA from 1 species
GAGUUUGAUCAUGGCUCAGGAUUAACGCUGGCGGCAUGCCUAAUACAUGCAAGUCGAACGGAGUAGCAAUACUUAGUGGCGAACGGGUGAGUAACACGUAUCUAAUCUACCAUUUAGUGGGGAAUAACUGUUGGAAACGACAGCUAAUACCGCAUAAUAUUGCUGGAUAAUUUCCAGUAAUGAAAGGAGCUUUCAAGCUCCGCUGAUUGAUGAGGAUGCGGCGCAUUAGCUAGUUGGUAGGGUAAUGGCCUACCAAGGCAAUGAUGCGUAGCCGAUCUGAGAGGAUGAACGGCCACAUUGGGACUGAGACACGGCCCAAACUUCUACGGAAGGCAGCAGUAGGGAAUUUUUCACAAUGGGCGAAAGCCUGAUGGAGCAAUGCCGCGUGACUGAUGAAGGUCUUCGGGAUUGUAAAGGUCUGUUGUAAGGGAAGAAAUGGUAAAACAGGAAAUGGUUUUAUCUAUGACGGUACCUUACCAGAAAGCCACGGGUAACUAUGUGCCAGCAGCCGCGGUAAUACAUAG